CGGGAGGACUGCCGAGUGGCGAACGGGUGCGUAACGCGUAGGUAACCUGCCCUCGAGUGGGGGAUAACUCCGGGAAACCGGGGCUAAUACCGCAUAUUGUCCCGGGACCGCAUGGUUCCGGGAUGAAAGCCCUCUGGGCGCUCGAGGAUGGGCCUGCGUCGGAUUAGCUAGUUGGUGGGGUAACGGCCCACCAAGGCGACGAUCCGUAGCUGGUCUGAGAGGACGACCAGCCACACUGGCACUGAGACACGGGCCAGACUCCUACGGGAGGCAGCAGUGGGGAAUCUUGGGCAAUGGGCGAAAGCCUGACCCAGCCACGCCGCGUGGAGGAUGAAGCCCUUCGGGGUGUAAACUCCUUUUCUGGGGGAAGAAAUCCCGGCUCUGGUCGGGACUGACGGUACCCCAGGAAUAAGCGCCGGCUAACUCCGUGCCAGCAGCCGCGGUAAUACG
rnacentral:rRNA from 1 species